rnacentral:rRNA from 1 species
AGAGUUUGAUCCUGGCUCAGGAUGAACGCUGGCGGCGCGCCUAACACAUGCAAGUCGAACGGCACCCCUCUCCGGAGGGAAGCGAGUGGCGAACGGCUGAGUAACACGUGGAGAACCUGCCCCCUCCCCCGGGAUAGCCGCCCGAAAGGACGGGUAAUACCGGAUACCCCGGGGUGCCGCAUGGCACCCCGGCUAAAGCCCCGACGGGAGGGGAUGGCUCCGCGGCCCAUCAGGUAGACGGCGGGGUGACGGCCCACCGUGCCGACAACGGGUAGCCGGGUUGAGAGACCGACCGGCCAGAUUGGGACUGAGACACGGCCCAGACUCCUACGGGAGGCAGCAGUGGGGAAUCUCGCGCAAUGGGGGGAACCCUGACGCAGCGACGCCGCGUGCGGGACGGAGGCCUUCGGGUCGUAAACCGCUUUCAGCAGGGAAGAGUCAAGACUGUACCUGCAGAAGAAGCCCCGGCUAACUACGUGCCAGCAGCCGCGGUAAUACGUAGGGGGCGAGCGUUAUCCGGAUUCAUUGGGCGUAAAGCGCGCGUAGGCGGCCCGGCAGGCCGGGGGUCGAAGCGGGGGGCUCAACCCCCCGAAGCCCCCGGAACCUCCGCGGCUUGGGUCCGGUAGGGGAGGGUGGAACACCCGGUGUAGCGGUGGAAUGCGCAGAUAUCGGGUGGAACACCGGUGGCGAAGGCGGCCCUCUGGGCCGAGACCGACGCUGAGGCGCGAAAGCUGGGGGAGCGAACAGGAUUAGAUACCCUGGUAGUCCCAGCCGUAAACGAUGGACGCUAGGUGUGGGGGGACGAUCCCCCCGUGCCGCAGCCAACGCAUUAAGCGUCCCGCCUGGGGAGUACGGCCGCAAGGCUAAAACUCAAAGGAAUUGACGGGGGCCCGCACAAGCAGCGGAGCAUGUGGCUUAAUUCGAAGCAACGCGAAGAACCUUACCAGGGCUUGACAUAUGGGUGAAGCGGGGGAGACCCCGUGGCCGAGAGGAGCCCAUACAGGUGGUGCAUGGUUGUCGUCAGCUCGUGUCGUGAGAUGUUGGGUUAAGUCCCGCAACGAGCGCAACCCUUAUGGUCAGUUACUACGCAAGAGGACUCUGGCCAGACUGCCGUUGACAAAACGGAGGAAGGUGGGGAUGACGUCAAAUCAUCAUGCCCUUUAUGACUUGGGCUACACACGUACUACAAUGGCGUUAAACAAAGAGAAGCAAGACCGCGAGGUGGAGCAAAACUCAGAAACAACGUCCCAGUUCGGACUGCAGGCUGCAACUCGCCUGCACGAAGUCGGAAUUGCUAGUAAUCGCAGAUCAGCAUGCUGCGGUGAAUACGUUCCCGGGCCUUGCACACACCGCCCGUCA